AUUGAACGUGGCGGCAGGCAACACAUGCAAGUCGAGCGGAAACGAGUGUUGAACCUUCGGGGAACGAUAGCGGCGUCGAGCGGCGGACGGGUGAGUAAUGCCUAGGAAAUUGCCCUGAUGUGGGGGAUAACCAUUGGAAACGAUGGCUAAUACCGCAUGAUGCCUACGGGCCAAAGAGGGGGACCUUCGGGCCUCUCGCGUCAGGAUAUGCCUAGGUGGGAUUAGCUAGUUGGUGAGGUAAGGGCUCACCAAGGCGACGAUCCCUAGCUGGUCUGAGAGGAUGAUCAGCCACACUGGAACUGAGACACGGUCCAGACUCCUACGGGAGGCAGCAGUGGGGAAUAUUGCACAAUGGGCGCAAGCCUGAUGCAGCCAUGCCGCGUGUGUGAAGAAGGCCUUCGGGUUGUAAAGCACUUUCAGUCGUGAGGAAGGUAGUGUAGUUAAUAGCUGCAUUAUUUGACGUUAGCGACAGAAGAAGCACCGGCUAACUCCGUGCCAGCAGCCGCGGUAAUACGGAGGGUGCGAGCGUUAAUCGGAAUUACUGGGCGUAAAGCGCAUGCAGGUGGUUUGUUAAGUCAGAUGUGAAAGCCCGGGGCUCAACCUCGGAAUUGCAUUUGAAACUGGCAGACUAGAGUACUGUAGAGGGGGGUAGAAUUUCAGGUGUAGCGGUGAAAUGCGUAGAGAUCUGAAGGAAUACCGGUGGCGAAGGCGGCCCCCUGGACAGAUACUGACACUCAGAUGCGAAAGCGUGGGGAGCAAACAGG
rnacentral:rRNA from 1 species